UGGGGAAUAUUGGACAAUGGGCGCAAGCCUGAUCCAGCAAUGCCGCGUGUGUGAAGAAGGCCUUCGGGUUGUAAAGCACUUUUAUCAGGAGCGAAACGCUGUCGGCUAAUACCCGGCGGAACUGACGGUACCUGAGGAAUAAGCACCGGCUAACUUCGUGCCAGCAGCCGCGGUAAUACGAAGGGUGCAAGCGUUAAUCGGAAUUACUGGGCGUAAAGCGUGCGUAGGCGGUUUCUUAAGUCUGCUGUGAAAUCCCCGGGCUCAACCUGGGAAUGGCAGUGGAUACUGGGAGGCUAGAGUGUGUCAGAGGGUGGUGGAAUUCCCGGUGUAGCGGUGAAAUGCGUAGAGAUCGGGAGGAACAUCAGUGGCGAAGGCGGCCACCUGGGACAACACUGACGCUGAGGCACGAAAGCGUGGGGAGCAACAGGAUUAGAUACCCUGGUAGUCCACGCCCUAAACGAUGCGAACUGGAUGUUGGUCUUAACUCGGAGAUCAGUGUCGAAGCUAACGCGUUAAGUUCGCCGCCUGGGGAGUACGGUCGCAAGACU
rnacentral:rRNA from 1 species